rnacentral:rRNA from 1 species
UACGUAGGGGGCAAGCGUUGUCCGGAAUUAUUGGGCGUAAAGAGCGUGUAGGCGGUCCGGUAAGUCGGGUGUGAAAGCCCCGGGCUCAACCUGGGAAUUGCAUUCGAGACUGCGUAGCUAGGGUGCGGAAGAGGGAAGCGGAAUUUCCGGUGUAGCGGUGAAAUGCGUAGAUAUCGGAAGGAACACCAGUGGCGAAAGCGGCUUCCUGGUCCAGCACCGACGUUCAGGCACGAAAGCGUGGGGAGCAAACAGG